ensembl:lncRNA
GGUUAGUAGUUUCAGUAUGGUGGAGGAGGCGUUGUCCUUGCGGGAGGUUAGUUAGUGUUCAGUAUGGUGGAGAGGAGAGUGUCCUUGAGUAGGUUAGUAGUGUCCGUAUGGUGGAGAGAGAGGAGUGUCCAUGAGUAGGUUAGUAUGUGUUUCAGUAUGGUGGAGGAGAGGCGUUCCUUGAGGAGGUUAGUAGUGUUCAGAUGGUGGGGCGAGAGUUGUCUGAGUAGGUUGUUAUGUGUUCAGUUGGUGGAGAGAGGAGUUCUUGAGGAGGUUCGUAGUGUUCAGUAUGGUGGAGAGAGAGGAGUGUCCUUGAGGGAAUGAGGGCUGCACCCCUUGAUUUGUUGAGGCGCUGUUUUCUUUGUCCUUGUCAGGCGUGAUUUAAACGUUCUUCAGACAACUAGCAAGGGUGCGACUCCCCCCCCGGCCCCCCCCCCCCCAUAGUGUGUUGUACCUAUUUCCUUUCCUUCAGUGAGCAGUAGUUAUAUUCGUAACUUUACAUGUUGUGUUCUCUUAUUUUCUUUAGCUCUAUCAGAUAAAAAAAAGAGCCAGAGGACCAAAAGAAGAAACAUGGGAAAGAAGUCUGCAUCUUUGUUCUGAUGAACCCUCGUAAACAGGAUGAAACCGCUCAGCAACUUCAUCACGUGUCUACCCUGCUUGAUUAACUGAUGAAUUAGCCUGUGCAGUCAGAUCAUCUUUAAACAUGUCUGACAACAUAAAUCCACAAACCUUGUCAGAGGCAGAGACACAGUUGACAGUGGAGCAAGGUGACAAGCACAUUGAGCAGAGUAAUCUUCUUCAAUCACCUACGAAACAGACAUUCAAGUCAGCUGCAAAUGGCACUACUGCCGUUAUACCAGAGUCAGGGGACGAGUUCUCCAGCUCCUCUCAUCAGUCCGUUUCAGAGAAAGGAACAAAGGUCGCUGGUCAAAAGGCUAAAAAUACUAAAAAAACUAAAAGAAAGACAAAUAUGGCAACCUUGGACAAGAAUGCUGAAGACCAGAUUGUGAACCAGAAUAGGCAACCCGACCUAAAAGGCCAGGACUCUGCGCAAACUACUGCUGUUGUUAAGGAUGUCUGUUUUGGUUCUCAAAAGACCGAGACCAUACGUUCCGGUGUUGACCCACCGGAAGUGGAGCCUAUGGAGAUUGAGCAGUCUACCGAUGGGAAAGGAGAUGCCUCCCUUUCACCAACAAGUCCAGAUUUUAAGAUGGAACCAAAGGACAACACAAUAGUUGGAUCUGAGACAGAGAGCAAAGGUGCCAGUGUUGACCGACACGUGGAGCCUAUGGAGGUUGAGCAGUCUGCCCAAGGGAAAGGAGAUGCCUCCCUUUCACCAACUAGUCCAGAUAUUAAGAGGGACAACACAAGUGAUGCCUCUGAAACUCCGGCUGGACCGCCGCCAGAAAGGUAUCCAACAUUUUCUUCUAGUCAGAAGUCACUCAACACUCAUACUUAUU